rnacentral:rRNA from 1 species
AUGGAUUUACUUCUGUUUUUAUUUUUAUUUUUCUUCUCUCUAUUGUUCCUCAUCAGCCGCUCCAGCCAGCGCCCUGACACGCUCACCGCCUCUGGGUGGCCGCACGCCAGCGUCCCGCCAAACUUUUGUCCCAGGUUUAUCUACACUCUUCUCCGCCUGGGAAUCAUUAUGUGCUUGCUGACUUGCUCUGCUCAUAUUGCCGCCAAAACUGAUUUCCCAGAUGAUCAGCUAGGAAAUUUGACGAAUUCAAGCAGUUUGCGAAUCCAUCAAAUUUUGAGAUCUGAAUGGGUAGGCCUCUCGGUGCUGGCUGCUCAGGGAGAAUAUUGUUGA